rnacentral:rRNA from 1 species
UGGGGAAUAUUGGACAAUGGGCGCAAGCCUGAUCCAGCCAUGCCGCGUGAGUGAUGAAGGCCCUAGGGUUGUAAAGCUCUUUCACCGGUGAAGAUAAUGACGGUAACCGGAGAAGAAGCCCCGGCUAACUUCGUGCCAGCAGCCGCGGUAAUAUGAAGGGGGCUAGCGUUGUUCGGAUUUACUGGGCGUAAAGCGCACGUAGGCGGACUUUUAAGUCAGGGGUGAAAUCCCGGGGCUCAACCCCGGAACUGCCUUUGAUACUGGAAGUCUUGAGUAUGGUAGAGGUGAGUGGAAUUCCGAGUGUAGAGGUGAAAUUCGUAGAUAUUCGGAGGAACACCAGUGGCGAAGGCGGCUCACUGGACCAUUACUGACGCUGGGGUGCGAAAGCGUGGGGAGCAAACAGG